UAGUCCUAGCAGUAAACGAUGGCUACUAGGUGUGGGGGGUGUUGACCCCUCCUGUGCCGAAGCUAACGCAUUAAGUAGCCCGCCUGGGGAGUACGGUCGCAAGACUAAAACUCAAAGGAAUUGACGGGGACCCGCACAAGCAGCGGAGCGUGUGGUUUAAUUCGAUGCAACGCGAAGAACCUUACCUGGGCUUGACAUUCUCUUGCAACUGUGUGAAAGCACAGCCUCCUUCGGGACAGGAGAACAGAUGUUGCAUGGCUGUCGUCAGCUCGUGUCGUGAGAUGUUGGGUUAAG
rnacentral:rRNA from 1 species